AUCCAAUAUCAGCUGCUCUGUUUAGGCUACAAAACGUGCAUGCAGGCUGAAAUUCAACCGUGCGGUUUUGUUGGGAUAAAGCUAUAAGCAGAAGGCAUAUCCGCUAGCUGCUAGGCUGAUGUGCAAUGGUAAACACACAGAAUAUAGUACACGCACAUAGCAGAGUUUGCAAACUGUGGCUAUUUUUGUUACCAAAGC